rnacentral:rRNA from 1 species
ACACGUGGAUAAUCUAACCUUGAGUAAGGGAUAACCUCGGGAAACUGAGGAUAAUACCUUAUAAUUGCUUAAAACUGGAAUGUUUAAGCAAUAAAAGUUCCGACGCUCAAGGAUGAGUCUGCGACCUAUCAGGUAGUAGGUGGUGUAAUGGACCACCUAGCCUCAGACGGGUACGGGCCCUGGGAGGGGUAGCCCGGAGAUGGACUCUGAGACAUCAGUCCAGGCCCUACGGGGCGCAGCAGGCGCGAACACUGUGCAAUGCGCGAAAGCGCGACACGGGGAGCUUGAGUGUCUUGGCAUAGCCAAGACUUUUCUCAUUCCUAAAAAGCAUGAGGAAUAAGUGCUGGGUAAGACGGGUGCCAGCCGCCGCGGUAACACCCGCAGCACAAGUGGUGGUCACUUUUAUUGAGCCUAAAGCGUUCGU